GCUUCAUUUGUAUAGUGGCUAGUACGCCUCGUUGUGGCUGAGGAAAACGGUGGUUCGAUUCCACCAUGUAGCA